rnacentral:rRNA from 1 species
UGAGGAAUAUUGGUCAAUGGGCGCAAGCCUGAACCAGCCAAGUAGCGUGCAGGAAGACGGCCCUAUGGGUUGUAAACUGCUUUUAUACGAGAAUAAUUUGAUGCACGUGUGCGUUAUUGCAUGUAUCGUAUGAAUAAGGACCGGCUAAUUCCGUGCCAGCAGCCGCGGUAAUACGGAAGGUCCAGGCGUUAUCCGGAUUUAUUGGGUUUAAAGGGAGUGUAGGCGGUUUGUUAAGCGUGUUGUGAAAUUUAGGUGCUCAACAUUUAACUUGCAGCGCGAACUGUCAGACUUGAGUACACGCAACGUAUGCGGAAUUCAUGGUGUAGCGGUGAAAUGCUUAGAUAUCAUGAAGAACUCCGAUUGCGAAGGCAGCAUACGGGAGUGUAACUGACGCUUAAGCUCGAAGGUGCGGGUAUCGAACAGGAUUAGAUACCCUGGUAGUCCGCACAGUAAACGAUGGAUGCCCGCUGUUAGCGCCUGGCGUUAGCGGCUAAGCGAAAGCAUUAAGCAUCCCACCUGGGGAGUACGCCGGCAACGGU